AGCGAACGCUGGCGGCCGGCCCAACACAUGCAAGUCGAACGAAGUCUUCGGACUUAGUGGCGGACGGGUGAGUAACACGUGGGAACGUACCUUUUGGUUCGGAACAACUCAGGGAAACUUGAGCUAAUACCGGAUGAGCCCUUAGGGGGAAAGAUUUAUCGCCGAAAGAGCGGCCCGCGUAAGAUUAGCUAGUUGGUGAGGUAAAGGCUCACCAAGGCUACGAUCUAUAGCUGGUCUGAGAGGAUGAUCAGCCACACUGGGACUGAGACACGGCCCAGACUCCUACGGGGGGCAGCAGUGGGGAAUCUUGCGCAAUGGGCGAAAGCCUGACGCAGCCAUGCCGCGUGAAUGAUGAAGGUCUUAGGAUUGUAAAAUUCUUUUACCAGGGACGAUAAUGACGGUACCUGGAGAAAAAGCCCCGGCUAACUUCGUGCCAGCAGCCGCGGUAAGAC
rnacentral:rRNA from 1 species